CACUGUGUCUCAUUCACCCAUUCACACACACAUUCACACACCAAUGGUAGCAGAGCUGCCAUGCAAGGCACUGACUUGCCAUCGGGAGCAACUUGGGUUUCAGUGUCUUGCCCAAGGACACUUCGAUAUGUGGAGUCAUGUGGGCCGGGAAUGAAACAGCCUAUGCUACUGUGGCAGGCCGGUCCCACGGUGAAGCCCUCCGUGUCUCUGCUCCCUCCGUCUCCUCUGCAGCUGUCUGAGGGAUCGGCCUCGCUGCUCUGCCUGCUGUCUGGCUACUCUCCACAGGGGGCGCUGGUGAGCUGGACAGUGGACGGCUCAGAGGUGAAGGACAGGGUUCUGACCAGCGCAGAAGAACAGAAGAACGGCCGUUACAGCCGCAGCAGCACCCUGACCCUCAGCAAAGACCUCUGGGAAAAUGGGGAGCAGUUUGUCUGUACGGUCUCCCAUGACUGCGGCUAUCAUCCGGUCACGUUCAGAAAGAGUCAGUGUGAAGUCUAACAGCUCCAAGAUAGAAUUCAACACUGAGCUGCUUCUGAUCCAUCUACAAGAGUUUCAAUUCUACACAACGCUGACAUUUCUGUCUUUACUCUCUUCACUGUCCUGUUGCUCUUCCUGUAGUUUUUGCUGAAAUAAAGCUGAGUUUUGGA